UACAGAGGGUGCGAGCGUUAAUCGGAAUUACUGGGCGUAAAGCGUGCGUAGACGGUUAUUUAAGUCGGAUGUGAAAGCCCCGGGCUCAACCUGGGAAUUGCAUUCGAGACUGAAUAGCUAGGGUACGGUAGAGGGAAGCGGAAUUUCCGGUGUAGCGGUGAAAUGCGUAGAUAUCUGGAGGAACACCGGUGGCGAAGGCGGCAUCCUGGACCGGCAUUGACGCUGAGGAGCGAAAGCCAGGGGAGCAAACGGG
rnacentral:rRNA from 1 species